rnacentral:rRNA from 1 species
UACGGGGGGGGCAAGCGUUGUUCGGAAUUACUGGGCGUAGAGGGCUCGUAGGCGGCCAACUAAGUCAGACGUGAAAUCCCUCGGCUUAACCGGGGAACUGCAUCUGAUACUGGAUGGCUUGAGUUCGGGAGAGGGAUGCGGAAUUCCAGGUGUAGCGGUGAAAUGCGUAGAUAUCUGGAGGAACACCGGUGGCGAAGGCGGCAUCCUGGACCGACACUGACGCUGAGGAGCGAAAGCCAGGGGAGCAAACGGG